UUGACUGCAUCGGAAUUCACAGGACGAGUGAACUUCCAUCCAUUGUUGUAAGUGUCAGAACAUCGCCUGAAGAGGCUCUCUUGUCCAUAUGUGGACAUUCAUAGCUUGGGGGUUCACUUGCCCCUGGAAUCGGGUGUGAAAGACAAGACUUUCUUGAGCACAAAGUCCCUCGGAACACACGAGGCUUGAUCUUCUUGUCAAAUGCUUUCUGACCAUAAAACAUGGCAGUUGAUCUUUUGUUUUUGCUUGAAUUCAGCAUCAGUCAACUUGGGACUUUGAGGGUGCUAUUUU
rnacentral:lncRNA from 1 species